rnacentral:rRNA from 1 species
CGCCUACGGGAGGCAGCAGUGGGGAAUAUUGGACACUGGGGGGAACCCUGAUCCAGCGACGCCGCGUGAGUGAAGAAGUAUUUCGGUAUGUAAAGCUCUAUCAGCAGGGAAGAAAAUGACGGUACCUGACUAAGAAGCCCCGGCUAACUACGUGCCAGCAGCCGCGGUAAUACGUAGGGGGCAAGCGUUAUCCGGAUUUACUGGGUGUAAAGGGCGUGUAGGCGGGCCUGUAAGUCAGAAGUGAAAUCUGGGGGCUUAACCCCCAAACUGCUUUUGAAACUGCGGGUCUUGAGUGAUGGAGAGGG